GCCGUGAUCGUAUAGUGGUUAGUACUUCGCGUUGUGGCUGCGACAACCCAGGUUCGGAUCCUGAUCACGGCA
rnacentral:tRNA from 1 species